GGCGGCGUGCCUAACACAUGCAAGUCGUACGAGAACUCUUUAAGCUUGCUUAGAGAUAGUAAAGUGGCGCACGGGUGAGUAACGCGUGGGCAAUCUGCCUCCAAGAUCGGGAUAACUCGCCGAAAGGCGUGCUAAUACCGGAUAACAUUUUAGGAACGCAUGUUCCAAAAAUCAAAGAUGGCCUCUACAUGUAAGCUGUUGCUUGGAGAGGAGCCCGCGUACCAUUAGCUUGUUGGUAGGGUAACGGCCUACCAAGGCUGCGAUGGUUAGCUGGUCUGAGAGGAUGACCAGUCACAUUGGAACUGAAACACGGUCCAGACUCCUACGGGAGGCAGCAGUGAGGAAUUUUGCGCAAUGGGGGAAACCCUGACGCAGCAACGCCGCGUGAGUGAAGAAGGCCUUUGGGUUGUAAAGCUCUGUCAAGUGGGAAGAAACUAUUCGAUGCAAAUACCAUCGGGUACUGACGGUACCGCUAAAGGAAGCACCGGCUAACUCCGUGCCAGCAGCCGCGGUAAUACGGAGGGUGCAAGCG
rnacentral:rRNA from 1 species